rnacentral:rRNA from 1 species
GACGAACGCUGGCGGCGUGCCUAACACAUGCAAGUCGAGCGAAUGAAGUUCCUUCGGGGAUGGAUUUAGCGGCGGACGGGUGAGUAACACGUGGGCAACCUGCCUCAUAGAGGGGAAUAGCCAUCCGAAAGGGAGAUUAAUACCGCAUAAGAUUGUAGUACCGCAUGGUACAGCAAUUAAAGGAGCAAUCCGCUAUGAGAUGGGCCCGCGGCGCAUUAGCUAGUUGGUGAGGUAACGGCUCACCAAGGCGACGAUGCGUAGCCGACCUGAGAGGGUGAUCGGCCACAUUGGGACUGAGACACGGCCCAGACUCCUACGGGAGGCAGCAGUGGGGAAUAUUGCACAAUGGGGGAAACCCUGAUGCAGCAACGCCGCGUGAGUGAUGACGGCCUUCGGGUUGUAAAGCUCUGUCUUCAGGGACGAUAAUGACGGUACCUGAGGAGGAAGCCACGGCUAACUACGUGCCAGCAGCCGCCGUAAAAC